rnacentral:rRNA from 1 species
CGUUGCAUUUGGGGGAUCCGGCUUCGGGUAGGUGUGGGAAGGAUAGAACUCGAGCUCCGCCGGCGCGCCCGGCGUCCUGUUGCUCGCGAGCGCCGGGCGCUGCGGCGGGCGGCACGUGCCUUUAGGUCGCCCGUGGCUCCGGCGGCGUGCGCACGCGUGGCACGUGCGCCACAGCCGUGCCGCGCGGCGCCGUGCGCCGCGGCACGCGCCGGCGCGCGCGGCUGCCGAUCCGGUGCGCGCGGCGGCGCACGCGGGCGCGCCAAAAAGUGGCCUGGUCCUGGGUCGUUUUAUGUCCACGCGUUGCAUUUGUGGGGAUCCGGCUUCGGGUAGGUGUGGGAAGGAUAGAACUGUCGAGCUCCGCCGGCGCGCCCGGCGUCCUGUUGUUCGCGAGCCCCGCCGGGCGCUGCGGCGGGCGGCACGUGCCUUUAGGGGUCGCCCGGUGGCCCCGGCGGCGUGCGCACGCGUGGCACGUGCGCCACAGCCGUGCCGCGCGGCGCCGUGCGCCGCGGCACGCGCCGGCGCGCGGCUGCCGAUCCGGUGCGCGCGGCGGCGCACGCGGGCGCGCCAAAAAGUGGCCUGGUCCUGGGUCGUUUUAUGUCCACGCGUUGCAUUUGUGGGGAUCCGGCUUCGGGUAGGUGUGGGAAGGAUAGAACUGUCGAGCUCCGCCGGCGCGCCCGGCGUCCUGUUGCCUCGCGAGCCCCGCCGGGCGCUGCGGCGGGCGGCACGUGCCUUUAGGGGUCGCCCGGUGGCCCCGGCGGCGUGCGCACGCGUGGCACGUGCGCCACAGCCGUGCCGCGCGGCGCCGUGCGCCGCGGCACGCGCCGGCGCGCGGCUGCCGAUCCGGUGCGCGGCGGCGCACGCGGGCGCGCCAAAAAGUGGCCUGGUCCUGGGUCGUUUUAUGUCCACGCGUUGCAUUUGUGGGGAUCCGGCUUCGGGUAGGUGUGGGAAGGAUAGAACUGUCGAGCUCCGCCGGCGCGCCCGGCGUCCUGUUGCCCUCGCGAGCCCCGCCGGGCGCUGCGGCGGGCGGCACGUGCCUUUAGGGGUCGCCCGGUGGCCCCGGCGGCGUGCGCACGCGUGGCACGUGCGCCACAGCCGUGCCGCGCGGCGCCGUGCGCCGCGGCACGCGCCGGCGCGCGGCUGCCGAUCCGGUGCGCGCGGCGGCGCACGCGGGCGCGCCAAAAAGUGGCCUGGUCCUGGGUCGUUUUAUGUCCACGCGUUGCAUUUGUGGGGAUCCGGCUUCGGGUAGGUGUGGGAAGGAUAGAACUGUCGAGCUCCGCCGGCGCGCCCGGCGUCCUGUUGCCCUCGCGAGCCCCGCCGGGCGCUGCGGCGGGCGGCACGUGCCUUUAGGGGUCGCCCGGUGGCCCUGUCGGCGUGCGCACGUGCGCACGUGCGCCGCGGCACGUGCCGGCGCGCUUGGCGGCCGAGCCGGCGCGCGGCGGCGCACGCGGGCGUGCCCAAAAGUGGCCUGGUCCUGGGUCGUUUUAUGUCCACGCGUUGCAUUUGUGGGGAUCCGGCUUCGGGUUGGUGUGGGAAGGAUAGAACUGUCGGGCUCCGCCGGCGCGCCCGGCGUCCUGUUGCCUUCGCGAGCCCCGCCGGGCGCUGUGGCGGGCGGCACGUGCCUUUAGGGUCGCCCGGUGGCCCCGUGGGCGUGCCCAAAAGUGGCCUGGUCCUGGGUCGUUUUAUGUCCACGCGUUGCAUUUGUGGGGAUCCAGCUCUGGGUACCUGUGGGAACCGGGAAACCCUCGAGACGCUCGUAGUUCCGCGCACGGCGUCCCGCCGCGUCCCCGGCCGUCCGCUGACCCCCGUCCGGCGUCGACGGGCCCUCGGGGCCUCCGACGCACGGUCGCGCGCGGGCGCGGCGCCGGGUCGCCUCGGGCACGUGACGGCGCGUGAGUAGUGGUCUGCGCGUUGCGCCUGCGGCCUCCCCUGCCCGAGUGCAGCCGACCGCGGGCGCGGGUCGCGUCUCGUUCGUCCCCGGAUGCCGGAGGGCUCGCCCCUCGUGGUCUGUACCGCCUAGCCGGAAUGCGGCAACCUCGGAACCCCGACGACUGGGCGCCGGCUCUCCCUCCCCAGCGGGCGGGCGAGAGGCGGCCGGUCGCGGCCCCCGUGCGUCCCCCGACUCGCCCAGCGCGUGU